rnacentral:rRNA from 1 species
CGAUUAGGCAGCAGUGGGGAAUAUUGGGCAAUGGACGCAAGUCUGACCCAGCCAUGCCGCGUGAAGGAUGAAUGUCCUAUGGAUUGUAAACUUCUUUUAUGCAGGAAAAACAUCUCGGUCGUGAACCGGGACUGAUGGUACUGUAUGAAUAAGCAUCGGCUAACUCCGUGCCAGCAGCCGCGGUAAUACGGAGGAUGCAAGCGUUAUCCGGAUUCAUUGGGUUUAAAGGGUGCGCAGGCGGAAUUAUAAGUCAGUGGUGAAAUCUCCCGGCUCAACCGGGAAACUGCCAUUGAUACUGUUAUUCUUGAGUAUAGUUGAAGUGGGCGGAAUGUGUCAUGUAGCGGUGAAAUGCUUAGAUAUGACACAGAACACCGAUAGCGAAGGCAGCUCACUAAGCUAUAACUGACGCUCAUGCACGAAAGCGUGGGGAUCAAACAGGAUUAGAUACCCUGGUAGUCCACGCUGUAAACGAUGAUCACUCGUUGUUAGCGAUAUACUGUUAGCGACUGAGCGAAAGCAUUAAGUGAUCCACCUGGGGAGUACGGCGGCAACGUUGAAACUCAAAGGAAUUGACGGGGGCCCGCACAAGCGGAGGAGCAUGUGGUUUAAUUCGAUGAUACGCGAGGAACCUUACCUGGGCUUAAAUGUAGGACGACGUUUCGUGAAAGCGGAAUUUCCUUCGGGACGUCUUACAGGGGCUGCAUGUUGUCGUCAGCUCGGGCCGGGAGGUGUCGGGUUAGUCCCAUAACG